AGCCCUCCAUGUUGAAGUGAGAUGAGGGUACAACAUGGAGUCCAGCAUAGAACUUGUGAUAACUUCCAUUGCAGAACAAGGCACAUUCUAAUCACUGUAGAGAGAGCUCUGCACACAGGGGAAGCCUGAAGAGUAAUAUAUUACAAACACAACUGGCUGCUGGAGGUUUGAAACAAGAAGGCCAUAUCAGUUCCAGGCUGAGGGAAGCCAUGAAUGGUUUCUAAUCAGAGACUGGGGCUGUGUAAUCUAAAGGUAACUCUGAGCUCUGGGCCUUACCACUUAGCUGAGAGCCUGUCCAAGACCUCAGGAGGUAUUCAAUCAACAUCUGUUGGAUGAAUGAAUGGGUGGAAGAUGAUGGAGACAAGGAUGCUGGUCUGAAGGUGCAGCCCUUGCAUCCACAGAGCAUGUGAACCAGAACAGAAAUUGCCACAGCCACCCUGACCUUCAGCCACCCUGACCUUCAGCAACCAUCACCCUGAGCAGUCAGCAGCCAACAGCAUUGAGGCAAGAUCCUCCACCAGCAAAAAGAUUAUGACUCAUUGAAAGUUCAGAUGAUUGUUAACAGCUUUUAGCAAUAAAAUAUUUUUAAAAUUAAA